UCGAUGCCUAAACAUCAAACGACCCGCGAACGCGUUUAAAAACAAACUGAACGCGUCGGGGGCGGGGGGAAAAGCAUGCUCUCUGCCUGCCUCCUCCCCUCCCGGCGUGUCUUAAACAAAACCCCGGCGCAGGUCGCGCCAAGGAACUUGAAUUGAAUUCGCCUGCCCCCUGCCCCGGCCUCGGCGUGCGGGGGGCGGAGCAUUCUAGUCGUAUUACUCA
rnacentral:rRNA from 1 species